rnacentral:lncRNA from 1 species
UGUUUUACAAGGGGUAGCUCAGACAGAGUCUGAGUAUGAAGAGACUGUCCGGGUGUCUCUUGAUCUGCUAUAUAUGUAGACCAACUCUCAUCAGUGGCAGUUCUAGGUGUUUUUGUGUUAUAAGGGCAAUAUAGAAGGUUUAAUUUACCAUCAAUAUGUACUAAGAUUAAACAAGUAUAGGUACGGGGAAAAACAUGUUAAAAUAUAUCAGUGGCAGUGCUAGGUGUUUUUGUUAUAUACAAGGCUCUCAUUUUUAAGAAUUUACCAUCAAGGCAGAGAGUAAUUUGAUACAAAAGUGGCAUGCGGAUAUAUGUUUGCAAACCAGAUGAUUUGAUGAAUAAACUUUAAUACAUACAUUUUCCCUUAUAUUAUUAUAGAUAUUAAAACUCUUAGUAGCCAGCGGAAGGGUAAGUCAUAUGACACUUGGAAGAUACGCUUUAGUUCUGUUCUGUUCCACCUUCUUGGAUAGAAGCUCACCCUCAAAGAUGCUCCUGUCCUCUUUCAAAGACGCUCCUGUCCCCGAUAACGACCCGUUUAGGCUUACCUGAGAAUCAAAACACAACACAAGAUUAACAUGUAAAUAAAACAGCACAGAUGGCAUAAUCAAAUAUAUGCUGGAAUACAAAAUAAAAGGUCUUAAAAUUAGCACGUUUCUACAAGAAUUUUUUAUGCUCACCCCGAGACAAGUCCCAAAAUCUCAUAGAACUGUUGUUACUUCCUAACUCCACAACAUAUACCAUUAGUAAAACACCUCAGACACCUAAACCCUUACGGGACUUGUGGGUUCUUAUUUCUGCUUCAAGGAAUAGAACUCCCUACUAAUGAGAUGCAGCAGGGCAAAGUGUAGAAUGACAGAAGUAACAACAUGCUAUCAAAUUUAUUGUGACUACGUCGGAUUUGUAAUAGCCAACACUGAACUGAAUGUACCCAGUGACACCUUAUCCAAUUACUGGUGUUUAAACUACACACGCUAAAACCUACAGUCACCAACGCACGAAUAUGAUUCUACGAGCAUAGAAAAUAUAGCAAGACCAAGUCCAAAAUGAAAACAGACAUAAUUGUAAGAAGAGAGAAGAAAAAACACCAUCCAAAGUUUUCAGCCAAUAAUUUCCAAACCCACCGCAAAGCAGCUCGUCACUCCUGCUGUUGAGCUUUACACACUGAAAGAAGCACACAACAAAAGAUUAUAACCGUUUCAACAUCAAAAAAACCAUGCUAUAAUACAAGUCGAUAACAUAGAAUAUCCUACACUCAAUCAUAUAGGAAUUUCGCCUUAAGGCCGAAUCGCCGUCAUCUUCCUCUUUCCCCUCACCAAGUGGGCAGAUCUCAGGAGCUCAACCUCACUGAUACGCUCUCAUUCUCAUCACAAUCAGAGUUGGCAAAUCUAUAACAUCUCAACCUGAGCACUAGAUUCACUUUUUUGAACUUCAUCAACUUGGCGACAUUUAUAGGAAAAGAAAUAAAGUUUCAUAAAAUUGUUACUUUGUUUCCUCCUCAACCACACGAAGACAUGUUUGACGAAGCAAGAAUCCCCGAUGCCUUCGGGAUUCAGCAAUUCUAGUUGUGGAAGGACGCACCCUUUUUGCUAGCUGUGUUGACUUCUCCAUUUUGAUGAUAAUUUCAGCUACCUUCACUAUAAUAGGCAUGGUAAUGCAAUGAGAGAGAAAUUGUUUUCUCGUUUCCAUUUUAUUUAUAAUACCUCUAACCUAAAUGUGGAAUACUUAUCUAAGAAUACGUUUUAUCAUACACUCUAGUGAAGGAAAAUGAAAGCUAAAUUAAUCUACACCAAAAAAGAAAAUUGCUCAUAUUAACACUGGUGUACCCAGUUAAACAUAAAAACUACUAUUAGGUCAGAUAUCUAAAAAUAGUUUGCAUCAGUUUUGCAACAUUUCUAGCUGCCAAAAUAAAGCAGUAAUAAUAAUCAUCCUCGGGAUAUCCUCUCGUGAGAAUCUGCUGACGUACUACACAAACACUAAUAAUAUAAACUCGUGCACAAUGUCUUAAAUAAUCAAAUCCGACACGGAGUAAAGAGACGUCAAAAUACAACACAUCAAAAUAACUUCAAACUAAAAACGGACAAAACUUGUCCCUUGGCCCUGAAAAGAGUCCAAAUGAAAAAAAAAACAUCUUUGAAGAAACACAAUUAUCAUACCUCCUCAUGCUUCUUGGAUAGCAAAUCACACCACCAACGCCCCUGAUCCUCAACAGUUCUCCCGCCCUCGACGAGGUUCUGUUUAGGGUGGUUGCCUGAGAAGAGAAUCGACACAAGAUUAGCAUGCGCAUAUGGCAUAAUCAACUAUAUGCUGGAAUAUAAAAUAAAAGGUGUUAUAUAUGUUAGAAUAUUUUAUUUCCUUAUGUGGCCUCUACUAUUUAUGAAAUUAUUGGGCUUACAUAUUGAAUUAAUUUAAUCACUUUAUUUAUGGGUUUGGUAAUUAUGCGACUUAUAAAUAAUAUUAAUGAUAGUAUUUGGCAUAAUUAACCCUUUAUAAUCUUGAUGGGCAAUUUUAACCCUAAACUAUUCUAUAAAUAAAACAAUUAUGGUUUGGACUCGAUUGUCGUCUUAAGAAUUUUAUACACGUCUAUACAUCUAUCCAAAGAUUGAGAGAGACAAUUGAAUACUUUCACCCUUAAGCGCUAUGGAAGCGCGAUACAUACAAGAUGUAUUCUCUCAAUUCAUGCAAGUACCUAACAUAAUGAUCAAUUAAUUGAUUUUAUUCUAUGAAAUAACACGUUCUAAUAUAAUUUAUUUAACAUUUGGUAUCAAAGCAUAGUUAUGCUAUCCCAUGAAAUAAAUUAAUUAUGUUGUUAUGCUAUAAAGUUUAAUAUCGUAGAAUGAUUUAAUUACGGUGAAAAGGCUUUCCCGAUAAUAACAUCAAUUUGUUUCAGUUUUUACGCAAUCAUGUAUUCUGUUGCACAUCAUGGAUACUUACUUUUUCUCAAUUCGUUAAUAUAUAUUGAAUUACUUAAUGAUUCUACCUGUAUAAUAUUAUUUAUAUUAUACCAUCAUGUUUAGAAAUUCUGCAAAUAGCCCAAGUGUUAUUUAGUAUUGACUUCAAUUUAUUGGCUAGGUUUAGGGUACAUCGUUAUGCUUUCAGGAGGCUCUAUGUCGUGGAGAAGUCAUAAACAGGAGUUAACUACCAUUUUCACAAUGAUGACAGAAUAUGAGGCUUGUUAUCAUGUUACUUGUCACCAUUAUUGAGUAAUCUUAUUUCAAGACUUAAGGUUGUAAAUUCCAUUUCAAGGCCAUUGAAAGUAUUUUGUUAUAAUGAUUAGGUUGUAAGUUUUUUCAACACCACCAGUUCGAGUGGUACUGGACUGUACCUCGACACUAAGUAUUUAUUUAUCAAAAAAAGAGUUGAAGAUCAAAGCGUUGUCGUUAAGAAUAUUAGUACGCAUAAUAUGUUAGCUGAUCCACAUACGAAAGGCGUAAACCAAAGCUCUUGUUAGACCAUGUUGCCGACAUAGGUUUAAGUGGUAGUCUUAAUUAGUGAGUAAUUUUGAUGUAAUACAACAUUUUUGAGCUCAUUUUGACCUUCACAUUGCGUUUACGGUUUUCAAUUCUUUUUCUUUUGCACACAUGAGAACUUGUGAGCAAACAAUUACGUUUUGGACUAGAAUGAGUUUAAUUAAUCUAUUAUCACUUAUGUAAACUCUAUUCGUACCUGUUAUGCUUAAUGUUAAUCUCUGUUCUAAUAAAAAUACUAAUUGUGUAACUAAUGGGAAUCUUGUGUUAAUAGUGACACAAAGAUUGUAUUAAUUCGCAUUGGUGCUUUUAUUUGAACAAGAUGUAGGCAUUAAAUUAAUACAUGGCCAAAUUAAUGAUUGUAAGCGUUAUGUUUUGUAUAUAAUUAGUAUUUCGUUCAAGUGGGAGAAUGUUAAAAUAUUUUAUUACCUUAUGCGGCCUCUAAUAUUUAUUGAAUUAUUGGGAUUACAUAUUGAAUUAAUUUAAUCACUUUAUUGAUGGGCCUAUAAAUAAUAUUACUGAUCGUAUUUGGCAUAAUGGGUCCAAAGGUUUCAUAAUCUUGAUGGAAGCUAUUCUAUAAAUAAAACCGUUAAGGUUUGGUCUCAAUUGUCGUCUCAAAAAUUUUAUACACAUCUAUACAUCCAUCGAGAGAAUUGAAAACUAUCACCCUUAAGCGCAGCGAAAGUGUGACACUUUAUCUAAUUACUCUAGAUUUAAAGUGUGACACCUUAAAUUUAUUGUGGAUAAUCAAAUUUAUUGUGGUUACGUCGGAUUUGUAAUAAGCCGAUACUGAACUGGAUGUACCCACUGACACUUUAUCUAAUUACUCUGGAUUUUAAACUAAGCACAAUAAACAUACAGACCAAGAAACAACACCGUCCAAAGUUGCAUCUCUUGCAUCAUAAUUUUUCAGCAAAGUAUUUUUGAACAUACCGAAAUCUGGUGCCUUCCCUCGAGCCUUGCACGCUGCAAAAGCACAAAACAAAUAUUAUAACCUUUUCAACAUCAACAAAAACUUGCUAUUUUUCUUUAUGUUUUUGUCUUUGUAAUACAAUUUGCUAGUGUAGAAGAAACAACUAGAAUCAUACAAAAUCUGAAACCCAAAACAACUUUUUCGUCCGAUUUGUCUGUCCGAAUGCAUACCUCUCCAGAAAUCUCACGCCGAAUACGCUUACGAUAGUAGAUUCUCCAUGCCACUAGUGUUAUCGGAAAGGUAUAAAGAUAGGCCCGAAGAACUAGUCCAUUACACAUGGAAAAAAAUUUAGAAACACAAUUGAUCAAAUAAAUGAGUAAAUCAUGAAUAAAGGCAUUUAAGAAGGGACUACUAGUCCGCCUAAUCCAAAGUUAAAUGCAAAAACUAACUCAUAACCCAAAAGAAACCCGCAAUAUUUUCCCUCUAAUUUCAUUAACUAAAAUCCAAUGAAAACUUUCACACAUACAUACGUAUAUGCGUGUGUGUGGUGUGUGUGUGUGUGUGUGUAUAUAUAUAUAUAUAUAUAUAUAUAUAUAUAUAUAUAUAUAUUCAAAAAGCAAUUAAGUAAUAAAGAUAAAAAGGAAAUCAGAUCAAACUGCCUUUGAAAGUAAAAAUGUUAGGGUUAGGGUUUCUAAAGCAGUAGCAACAAGAGGAUAAAUUACUGAACUGUUACAAACAAUGGGAGAGCCACACCUUAAAAGCUAGCUAUUAAGGUUGGAGAGCCCAAAGUUUAUAAAUACCCCACAUCAAAGUCUCAUACCAUCGAUGUGGGACACAAGUCCCAUACCUUGCAAUUAGGAUCAUAACAUUCCACCACGCUCCGCAGUCCCGGCGCCCACGCGGGCUGGCUUUGCGCUAGACGAUUCUAGCCCCGGGUGCCGACGUCACAACCCUCGCCGCACGAUUGCAACCGGAAGGUAGUGGAUGGUUUUGAUACCAAUUGUAAUGAAUUGGAGAAGCAGACUAAAAUUGUCAAGGAAAUUUAGGGAAUAAGGAACAGAGCAGUUAGAGUGAAGAAGAAGACAGAAGAGAACCGUAGAGAGAGAAAAGACUAUCACGUUAUCUUUCAAUAAUCCCAAUAGAAUUACAACUCAGCUAUAUAUCUACUUAGAAUACUACUAUUACUAUAAUGCCCCCACUAAUCCUAUAUUGACUUCUAUAUCCCAACCUAUUCCUUACAUUAUUGUUACAAACAAUGGGAGAGCCACACCUUAAAAGCUAGCUAUUAAGGUUGGAGAGCCCAAAGUUUAUAAAUACCCCACAUCAAAGUCCCAUACCAUCGAUGUGGGACACAAGUCCCAUACCUUGCAAUUAGGAUCAUAACAUUCCACCACGCUCCGCAGUCCCGGCGCCCACGCGGGCUGGCUUUGCGCUAGACGAUUCUAGCCCCGGGCGAACACUGCAAUGCCGACGUCACCACCCUCGCCUAGCUUUUAAGGUGUGGCUCUCCCAUAGUUUGUGACAAUUGGUUUUAAGGUGUGGCUCUCCCAUUGUUUGUAACAAUUGGUAUCAAAGCCAUCCACUACCUUCCGGUUGCAAUCGUGCGGCGAGGGUGAUGACGUCGGCAUUGCAGUGUUCGCCCGGGGCUAGAAUCGUCUAGCGCAAAGCCAGCCCGCGUGGGCGCCGGGACUGCGGAGCGUGGUGGAAUGUUAUGAUCCUAAUUGCAAGGUAUGGGACUUGUGUCCCACAUCGAUGGUAUGGGACUUUGAUGUGGGGUAUUUAUAAACUUUGGGCUCUCCAACCUUAAUAACUAGCUUUUAAGGUGUGGCUCUCCCAUUGUUUGUAACAAUUUUUGACAAUUUUAGUCUGCUUCUCCAAUUCAUUACAAUUGGUAUCAGAGCCAUUCCGAUCCCAGCCAUAAUGACAGCCGAAAAUCAAAAUUCUAAAGCCCUAGAAAACAAUUUUGAAAAAAUUCGAGAAUUAAUGAAAGGAUUGCAAAGUUCUAUGGGUAAAGAGUGCAAGCAGGUCAUGAAGAAAUUUGGUGACUUACGAGCUUCCAAUGGAAGAGGUCGGGAGCUGAUAUCUGAAAUGAAGAUAAGCUCAGAUAGUAAAAAAAUCAAAGGUACUUACAAAGUGUUUGAUAAAAGGUUUACAAGAGGUAUAUCAAAUAAGAAGGUCUUAAUUUCUGGUUAUAAUCAAGAUGAAGAUUGUUUGUAUGUUGAGACCUUUGAAUAUGUGCAAAAGAAAUUAUUAAUUUUUGGUUCUAAUCAAACUGAGGAUUGCUUAUGUGAAACAACAUAUUCCUUAAAUUCAAUAUACCAAGACAUUAAUGAUGAAGAUGAUGUGGAUCUGGAUUUUAAGGAGGAAGAGAGCCUUCAAACACAAUUGCAGAUUCAACAAAAUGUUGGUUCAGUUGUUCCUGAGAUUGGAGGCCAUGAUUUUCUGGCCGGAAUUGAAGACCCAAUCUCACUCGUCAAUCAAGUUUGCACUGAAUCAAUUCAGGAUAAGGUCACAGGAGAGAACAUGGAACAUGAAACUAAGGUGGAUGAUAAAAAGCUAGUACCAAGAAUAACUAUCUAUCAAAAUGAAAUUAAAGGAGAUGGUGUGACAAUUGAAGGAGUAUUGUUACAAACAAUGGGAGAGCCACACCUUAAAAGCUAGCUAUUAAGGUUGGAGAGCCCAAAGUUUAUAAAUACCCCACAUCAAAGUCCCAUACCAUCGAUGUGGGACACAAGUCUCAUACCUUGCAAUUAGGAUCAUAACAUUCCACCACGCUCCGCAGUCCCGGCGCCCACGCGGGCUGGCUUUGCGCUAGACGAUUCUAGCCCCGGUCGAACACUGCAAUGCCGACGUCACCACCCUCGCCGCACGAUUGCAACCGGAAGGUAGUGGAUGGCUUUGAUACCAAUUGUUACAAACAAUGGGAGAGCCACACCUUAAAAGCUAGCUAUUAAGGUUGGAGAGCCCAAAGUUUAUAAAUACCCCACAUCAAAGUCCCAUACCAUCGAUGUGGGACACAAGUCUCAUACCUUGUAAUUGGUAUCAAAGCCAUCCACUACCUUCCGGUUGCAAUCGUGCGGCGAGGGUGGUGACGUCGGCAUUGCAGUGUUCGCUCGGGGCUAGAAUCGUCUAGCGCAAAGCCAGCCCGCGUGGGCGCCGGGACUACGGAGCGUGGUGGAAUGUUAUGAUCCUAAUUGCAAGGUAUGGGACUUGUGUCCCACAUCGAUGGUAUGGGACUUUGAUGUGGGGUAUUUAUAAACUUUGGGCUCUCCAACCUUAAUAGCUAGCUUUUAAGGUGUGGCUCUCCCAUUGUUUGUAACAAAUUGUAAGGAACUGAAAUCUGGAUUCAGUUCUUAGCUCAGUCAAUAUACUAAAACAAGAAGAAGAAUUAACUAAGAAUGAAGAAUAGCAAGAUCAGGAGGAAAAGAGACUGUAUAUUGGAGAGAGACAAAGAGUAACAAUUCCAUUCAUGCCUUCAACUGAGUACAGCUAGGUCUUCUUAUACAAAGGAAAAGAACAAAACAAUAACCGACUCAAUUUAGCCUAACAGUAACAGAUUACUGCUAAACCAUAUUAUUAAGCAAAAGACUAUUAUACCCUUAGUGACUCACUGGACUUUCUAUAUGUAACCCACAUUUCCUUACAAUCCCUUCCCCUAACAAAUUCCUUGUCCUCAAGGAAGAAAAUGUGGGAACCGGGCAUGAAUAUCAGACCAAAGCUCCCAAGUAGCUUCAGAAGGAAGAGUAUUAGACCACUGAAUUAAGACUUCUGCAACUGGUGCAUUAUUCUUCUUCACCAACCUUCGAGCAAGGACUGCUAGAGGCUCAACCACAAACUGCCCAUGAACAUCCACUGAAGGCACAACCUGUGAAACUGUUGCAGCUGUACCAAUUUUCUUUUUAAGCAUUGAAACAUGGAAAACAGGAUGUAUCUUAGCAUGUACUGGAAGAAGUAACUUGUAAGCAACAGAACCAAUACGUUCAAGCACCUGAAAUGGCCCAUAGUACUUAGAAUCCAACUUAGAAUAUCUAGACUGAGUCAUAGAAAGUUGUUUGUAUGGUCUAAGUCGUAAGUAAACCAUAUCUCCAACAUUAAAACUUCUUUCCUGCCUAUGCGCAUCAGCAUAAGUCUUAAUUCUGUUCUGAGCUUGAAUCAAAUUAUGUUUCAACAACUGUAACAAUUGAUUCCGAACAGCACUAAACUGUUUAGCAGUAGGAUCAGAAAUUUGGCCAAACUGGUGGAAAGAAAGAUGAGGAGCUGUAUAACCAUACAAGGCCUAAAAUGGGGUUAGCUGUGCGCCACUGUGAUAGUGGGUAUUGUACCACCAUUCAGCUAGAGGUAACCACUCACCCCAAGACUUUGGUCGUUGGCUGCACAUACAUCUCAAAUAAGCUUCUAAACAUUGAUUUAAUCUCUCAGAUUGGCCAUCACUUUGAGGGUGAUAAGCAGUGCUGAGCUUUAAAUGAGUUCCCAAAGACUUGAACAAAGACUGCCAAAAAUGCCCAAUAAAAAUCCUAUCUCUGUCUGAAACUAUAGAUGUAGGCAGCCCAUGUAAUUUAUGUACAUGAGUCAUAAACACAUCUGCGACAUCUACAGCAGAAUAAGGAUGCUUCAAACCCAAAAAAUGAGCGUACUUGGUAAGUCUAUCAAUCACUACCAAAAUUGAAUUAUAUCCAUGGGAAUUAGGGAGUCCCUCAAUAAAAUCCAUGGCAAUAUCCUUCCAGGUGUAUCAGGAAUAGGUAAAGGCUGCAACAACCCAAGUGUAGCACUGGUCUCAUGUUUGUUUAACUGACAGACUUCACAUUCUCUAACAAAAGAGAUAACAUCAGACCUUAAAGUAGGCUAAUAGAAAUACUGAGAUAUUCUUUCAAAAGUUCCUUUCCUCCCAGAAUGACCUCCCACAGGAGAACUAUGGAAUUCCUGUAAAAGCUUCACUUUUAGUGCAGCAGAGUUCCCCACUACCAACUUUCCUUUAUACCUCAAUCUGCCAUUAAUAAAAGAAUAAUCAGGAACGGAGUGGGAAUCUACAACUAACUGAGAAAUAAUUUGUUGUAGUUCUGCAUCCUCAGCCCAUGUAGCAGCCAAUUCUUGAAUCCAUUGAGGAGUGACUGUAGAAAGAGCUAAACAAUGUAAGCUCUCAGUUCCCAAAUCAGAAGUAUAACUCUGAUGCAAUCUAGAUAAUCCAUCUGCAACUAUAUUUUCCUUCCCCUUCUUAUAACAUAUUUCAUAAUCCAUUCCCAUCAACUUAGUAAUCCACCGUUGUUGAUUAACAGUAGUAAUUCGUUGAUCCAAUAAGUAAUUUAAACUUUGGUGGUCAGUCCUAAUGACGAACUUUGUUCCCAACAAAUAAUGCCUCCACCUUUGCACAGAAUACACCACAGCCAUCAAUUCUUUCUCAUAAGUAGACAAACCUAAAUGCCGUGUAGCAAUAGCUUUAUUAAGAUAAGCUAUUGGCCUGUCAUUUUGCAUCAGCACAGCCCCAAUACCUGUUCCACAAGCAUCAGUUUCCAAGACAAAAGGAAGGGUAAAAUCAAGCAUUGCUAAAGUAGGAGCAACUACCAUAGCUUGCUUCAGCUGAAGGAAAGCUGUCUCAGAUUCAGGAGUCCAAAUAAACUGAUUUUUCUUAAGCAUAUCAGUGAGAGGCUUGCUUAUCAAUCCAUAAUGCCUGAUGAACUUCCUAUAAUAUCCUGUCAAGCCUAAAAACCCCCUCAACCCCUUGAUACUAACAGGUUUAGGCCAUUGAAGCAUGCAAUCUAUUUUCUCAGGAUCUGUAGAAACACCCUCAGGAGUGAUGACAUGUCCAAGGUAUUGAACCCUUUGAGUGGCAAAAGCACACUUGGACAUUUUUGCAUACAGCUCAUGCUGCCUUAACAACCCCAAAGUCACCUCUAUGUGCUGUAAAUGAGAUUCAUAAGUAGGACUGUAAACCAAAAUAUCAUCAAAAAAAACUAGGAUGAACUUCCUCAAAUAAGAAGCAAACACAGUAUUCAUGAGGCUUUGGAAAGUAGAUGGGGCAUUCGUUAACCCAAAAGGCAUUACUUUAAACUCAUAGUGGCCCGAAUGGGUUCUAAAAGCAGUUUUAGGUAUAUCAAGAGGAUGAACCCUUAUCUGAUGAUACCCAGACCUUAAAUCAAGUUUAGAAUACCACUUAGCACCAUGAAGUUCAUCCAACAAUUCAUCUAUGACAGGUAUAGGAAAUUUGUCCUUGAUAGUCACAUCAUUUAGAGCCCUAUAAUCAAUACACAUUCUCCAUGUGUUAUCAUGCUUCUUUACCAACAACACUGGGAAAGCAAAUGGGCUACUACUGUUUUGAAUAACCCCAGACUGAAGUAAAUUAGUAACAAUCUUCUCUAUCUCUGCUUUCUGAACAUAUGGUUAUCUAUAGGGUCUUAAAUUGAUAGGCUGACUUCCUUCUUUUAAAUUGAUAUGAUGGUCAUGUGCCCUUUCAGGAGGUAGUCCCUUUGGUUCUGCAAAAACAUCAGAAAAGGACUUCAACAAUCUUAAAAGCUUAGGACACUCAGAAUUUUGUAAACUGCAAUCCUUACACUCUGAAAUCCCAUACAAAUAACCAAAAAACCCAUGUGUUGAAGUCUGCAAGGUCUUUGUAAAUUCUCCUGAAUCCAUAAGUUGGACCAUAGGAGUAACAUUCAUACUGUCUCCUUGCACGAUCACUGAUUUUCCUUCGUGAUUAAACUGGAACUGCAACUUAUUAAAGUCAAAAGUUACUGGACUUACAGUUUUUCACCACUGAACCCCAAGUACUGCAUCCACCCCUCCUAAUGGUAAAAUCCUCAUGUCAGUGUGGUACUCUUUUCCUUGCAUUUGCCACCUAAACUCAGGACAGACUUGGUUGCUUUGCAGUUUAAACCCAUCAGCCACAGAGACAGCCACUGCCUUAGCAGUAUUUUCAAUUCUGACCUUAAGUCUUUUUGCUGCUUGUGGAUCUAAGAAAUUACCAGUACUUCCACUGUCAAUCAAGAUACUAACUGGUUUUUGAUUCACUAGACCUUGUACCUUAACAGUUCUAUCAGUAUUAUGACCUAAUAAAGCGUGUAAAGUUAUUUGCACAUUAUUGGCCUGAUCUUCCUGAACCAGUUUGUAUAAUUCCCUUUUUCCAAGUGGUUCUGGUUCAUACACAAUCUGUUCCUCUUGGUCCACACCACUUUCCUCUUCCACAGAAGGCACCAUCAUAAACAAAUGUGGUUGUUUACAAACAUGACCCAACCCAUAAGGUUCAUCACAAGAAAAACAUAAUCCUUUCCUCCUCUUUUCCAUGAUCUGUUCCCUAGUUAAGUUCCUAAUAGGCAGGAGUUUUUUUGUUUCAGGCACACGUACUUCUGCCUUAUUCUCUACCACAUGAGCACCACUAUUUCCUCCCACAUUAUAAACCCCUUUCUGCAGUCCAGAAACUGCAGAACUGCUCUUAUUAAUCAAAUUUCCAGCAGUAGUUUUAAAAGCAGAUCUACUCCUUUUAAUCCAUGCUUCUAAUUUAGCUUCUUCCACUCUUGCCAAUCGAAUUGCUUCCUUUAGAGUCUUAAACCCAUAUUCUUGUAUUCCCAACUGAAUCUCCUCUCUCAAACCACCAACAAAACAAUCAAUAAAGAAUUCCUCAUUUAGUUGUGGAUUUUUAAUCACAGCCCAGCCUUUAAGCUCUUCAAACUUUCCCCUAUAAUCAUCAACAGUACUAGUUUGCUGUAAUUUCUUAAGCUCAGCUACAGGAUUGAUUUUAGCUUCUGGACUAAAUCGAGCCAAUAACUCCUCAAUCAGGUCAUUCCAGGUCAAAUUAACUAUACUUUCUACAAAACUUGAGUACCAGAUCUCAGCUUCUCCUUCAAGAUGCAUAGUAGCCAAAUAUAAUUUCUGAUUCUCAGCGACAUUAUGAUGUGAAAACAAUUUAUUACAUUUCCUUAUCCACGACCUAGGAUCAUUUCCAUGAAAUUUAGGGAAUUCAAGUUUAAUUGUUCUGAAAAUUCCCUCACCAUUAGUAACAGGAAGAGUUCCUCCUUCGUAAGCACCUAGGAUUGAUCCAGACAUGUUUGGAUUAGAGGAUGAAGAGUUACUACCUGAAGAUUGUCCGUCCUUACCAGAAGAAGAAGUUGAUCCUUGUUUUUGGCCCUGAGCUGAUAUUAUUGCCUCAAAACCUUUCAACAUCUGUUCCAAUUUCUCGUCAAAUCCUUUCUUCAGUAGCUCCAUCGAUGAAUGCAGCUGGCUUUGCAAUUCCUGCAGAUUACUCUCAAGGUUAGUCAAUCUCUGAUUGUUCGUUGCCAUCACCGCAAAAUCGUCACAGCUUUGAUACCAAAUUGUAAGGAACUGAAAUCUGGAUUCAGUUCUUAGCUCAAUCAAUAUACUAAACAAGAGGAAGAAGAAUUAACUAAGAAUGAAGAAUAGCAAGAUCAGGAGGAAAAGAGACUGUAUAUUGGAGAGAGACAAAGAGUAACAAUUCCAUUCAUGCCUUCAACUGAGUACAGCUAGGUCUUCUUAUACAAAGGAAAAGAACAAAACAAUAACCGACUCAAUUUAGCCUAACAGUAACAGAUUACUGCUAAACCAUAUUAUUAAGCAAAAGACUAUUAUACCCUUAGAGCCACACCUUAAUAGCUAGCUUUUAAGGUGUGGCUCUCCCAUUGUUUGUAACAAUUGGUAUCAAAGUCAUUCCGAUCCCAGCCAUAAUGACAGCCGAAAAUCAAAAUUCUAAAGCCCUAGAAAACAAUUUUGAAAAAAUUCGAGAAUUAAUGAAAGGAUUGCAAAGUUCUAUGGGUAAAGAGUGCAAGCAGGUCAUGAAGAAAUUUGAUGACUUACGAGCUUCCAAUGGAAGAGGUCGGGAGCUGAUAUCUGAAAUGAAGAUAAGCUCAGAUAGUAAAAAAAUCAAAGGUGCUUACAAGGUGUUUGAUAAAAGGUUUACAAGAGGUAUAUCAAAUAGGAAGGUCUUAAUUUCUGGUUAUAAUCAAGAUGAAGAUUGUUUGUAUGUUGAGACCUUUGAAUAUGUGCAAAAGAAAUUAUUAAUUUCUGGUUCUAAUCAAACUGAGGAUUGCUUAUGUGAAACAACAUAUUCCUUAAAUUCAAUAUACCAAGACAUUAAUGAUGAAGAUGAUGUGGAUCUGGAUUUUAAGGAGGAAGAAAGCCUUCAAACACAAUUGCAGAUUCAACAAAAUGUUGGUUCAGUUGUUCCUGAGAUUGGAGGCCAUGAUUUUCUGGCCGGAAUUGAAAACCCAAUCUCACUCGUCAAUCAAGUUUGCACUGAAUCAAUUCAGGAUAAGGUCACAGGAGAGAACAUGGAACAUGAAACUAAGGUGGAUGAUAAAAAGCUAGUACCAGGAAUAACUAUCUAUCAGAAUGAAAUUAAAGGAGAUGGUGUGACAAUUGAAGGAGUGUUUGACCCUGGGGGGAAAAUGAAGAGCUGUUUUAGUUGUAAAAAGGAAAAUGAGGUGGAAAAGCUUUCAAGUUCUAUAGUUAAUAAUGUGUACAGUAUGAAUUACCCUUCAGCCAUGGACUAUAGUGGUCUAUGGGUCAGUUAUGGGUCUUCUCAGAUGAGGCUUCAGUCUACACUCCUUGAACUUGUGCAUAGAGAAAGGACUGGUGAAGUAAUAAACCGUGGUUUGAUGAGGAAUAUAACAAAGAUGCUAAUGGAUUUAGGUUCCUUUGUUUAUCAAGAAGACUUUGAGAAGCCUUUUAUGAAAGUCUCGGCUGAUUUUUACCGUGGUGAAUCUCAGCAAGUCAUAGAUUGCUGUGAUUGUGGGGAUUAUCUUAAGAAAGCUGAGAAUCGUCUAAAUGAGGAGAUUGAGAGAGUGUCCCACUACUUAGAUGCAAAAAGUGAAGCAAAGAUAACAAACGUGGUGGAGAAGGAGAUGAUUGGAAGUCAUAUGCAGAGAUUAGUCCAAAUGGAGAACUCAGGUUUAGUUAAUAUGAUAGUGGAUGACAGAUUUGAAGAUCUGGGAAGGAUGUAUAGCUUGUUCCGCAGGGUGCAAAAUGGGCUGUCAUUAGUUAGAGAUGUCAUGACUUCCCAUAUUCGGGAGGCAGGUAAGCAGCUAGUAACUGAUCCAGAAAGGUUGAAGGACCCUGUUGACUUUGUGCAGCGGCUUUUGGAUGAAAAGGAUAAGCAUGAUAACAUCAUUAGUCUGGCAUUUAACAAUGAUAAGACAUUCCAGAAUGCUCUGAAUUCUUCCUUUGAAUAUUUCAUUAAUUUGAAUCCUCGUUCGCCAGAAUUCAUUUCUUUGUUUGUUGAUGAUAAGCUCCGCAAAGGACUGAAAGGGGUUAGUGAGGAGGAUGUAGAGAUUGUACUGGACAAGGUGAUGAUGCUUUUCCGCUACUUACAAGAGAAAGAUGUUUUUGAGAAGUACUACAAGCAACAUUUGGCAAAAAGGCUUCUUUCAGGCAAGACUGUCUCUGAUGAGGCGGAGAGAAGCUUGAUAGUCAAGCUCAAAACUGAGUGUGGGUAUCAAUUUACUUCAAAGUUGGAAGGCAUGUUCACUGAUAUGAAGACCUCCCAGGACACGAUGCAGGGGUUCUAUUCAGCAAUGGGUGCCGAGAUAGCAGAUGGCCCUACACUUGCAGUCCAGGUCCUCACUACAGGAUCUUGGCCAACUCAAUCGAGUAACACUUGCAACCUUCCACCAGAAAUUUCGGGUGUGUGUGAUAAGUUCCGGACAUAUUAUCUUGGGACUCACACUGGUCGGAGAUUGUCCUGGCAAACAAAUAUGGGAAUUGCAGAUUUGAAAGUAACAUUUGGAAAGGGCCAGAAGCACGAGUUAAAUGUCUCCACAUACCAGAUGUUUAUCCUAAUGCUCUUCAACAAUGCUGACCGUCAGAGUUAUAAAGAAAUCAUAAAAAUAAAAAUAAUAAUAAAAAUAAAAAUUGGAUGCCCUCAGCCAUGUUUUUGCUACCAAGCUUGGAGUUCGCCUAGCUGAAGCUCGUAUGAAUGGUACCUGUGCAUUGUUAAGGCUUGCUGGUAAAACUCAAGUGACUGUUGAGUACUAGUAUGACAGUGGUGUCAUGGUCUUGUGCACAUUAUUCUGAUCUCCACUUACCCAGCCUGAGGAGACUAUUACAACUGAUGAGAUUGCUACUUUGUCAUUGGUGUUUGUCUGGAUGAGAUUGGUGAUUUGUCAUUUUUGUCAAAUGCCUAAUACUCCAGUCUAGUUGGUAUUUGUUGUCUCCAUAUUUUCAAUUUUUUUGUUUGUAAUAAACCCCACCCUUGAGGGCAAUGGUGUUUUUGAGGAGCAGGGAAUGUAAGGUAUAGAUAGGGAUAUAGAAGUCAAUAUAGGAUUAGUGGGGGCAUUAUGGUAAUAGUAGUAAUAGCUGAAUUGUAAUUCUAUUGGGAUUAUUGAAAGAUAACGUGAUAGUCUUUUCUCUCUCUACGGUUCUCUUCUGUCUUCUUCUUCACUCUAACUGCUCUCUCUCUCUCUCUCAACUCAAUUUUCUGUUCCUUAUUCCCUAAAUUUCCUUGACAAUUUUAGUCUGCUUCUCCAAUUCAUUACAUGAACCUAGCAAAUAAAUUAAACAUAUAUACAUAUAUGUGCGAAACAAGGAGGAUCGGAAAGGAAAACUAACUGGCGCUCAUGAUUCCGAGAUUGAACAGAUGCGCUGCUGCGAAGACAAAUCUGGAAAAUGCUUUCCUCCCGUUUGUUUGCGUCAAAUGAGACCCGGCUACUUCUCAAAUUAUAUUCUCAGUCGGAUUUCCUCCCGUUUGUUUGCGUUAGCCCAGCCCAACCCAGGCCGAUGAGCCCAAUACAAAGUUAUACUUAUAAAUUAGUUUUAUUGUGCACAUAAACUCCUAAAACAAUAUAAAAUAGAGUCUCUUACAGAAUUAUACAACAUUUAGAAAGUAAUUACAAAAAAAUGCAUCCAUAAAAAAAUUACAAAAAAAGAGCAAAAAAUUCAAACCAUUCAAUUUCAAAUUAAAUAAGGAAACCUAAAAUCAAGGAUAACUAAUAAUUCAAAUUCAAAUCUUUUGGAUCUAACAACAAUUUCAAAUUCAUAAUUCAAAAAUUCAAAUCAAGAUGAGGAAAUUAAAAACAAAAAAUUAUGAAGGAGUUAAUGAUUAUCAUCCUCCUCCCCUGCCUCCCGCUGCCGCCACCACCAUAUCGCCGGAGUUGCUAUUCUGAAUUUUUUUUGACGUUUUGGUUACCCACAAAAAUUAAAAUGGUUACCUUUAUACGAAGUUUGGCUACCAACUGCAUCACAUUCAAAAUAAAAUUGGUAAUCAAAUAAAACUACCCUAUCAUAAGCUCAUCAUCAUCAUGGUUUGAAUGUGCAAGACAAUAUUAUUAUUAUUAUUAUUAUUAUUAUAACACAACAUAAACCAAGUGCAUAUAUUGAAAUAUAUAAUAAAUACAAGGAAUAUAUAAAAAUCUGCAUUUGAACUUAAUACAAGUGUAAACACAAUAGCAUUCUCCCAAGCACCAGCCAUAUUCAUCUUCCCAAACUAUGUUGUGGCAUCAAGUUCAACUCUAUAAAAUGCUUUCAGGUAGUCUGCACUGCGAAUAGCUAGGUGGAAACCUACAUAUAAAAUGCUCUCUCUGUUCCACAUAAACACUCCCAUCUGCAAACUUAAAAUAUAUAUUUUUCUUUUGUGUUUAUCCCUAAAUAUAUAUAACAAGUGGCUUAAUUAGUUUAAUAGUGAUGACAAUCUGGCAUUUAAAAAAAAUUUCUAUGGCAUUUGACUAUAUAUGAUAUAGUAUUUAGGAACAACCCAUUUCGAGGUUCAAUUGACGACAAAAUCACUGAGGACUAGCUGUUUGUAUGUAAGAAAGGACAUGCACGCAUGACCAGCGUCGCAAAAAAAGAAGAGAAAAAGAUCAAACGAGUGUUUUACAAGGGGAUAGCUCAGAAAGAGUCUGAGUAUGAAGAGAUCGACUGGCCGGGUGUUUGAAGGAAGCUUGCUUGCUUCUAUUGCCUAAUGCAGGCGGAAUUUAUGACACGAAUAAGACAGUCCCAUCCUUAGGGACUAGAGUGGGUAUUAAUUAAGUAACCAGGAAUGAAUUAAGUAAUUUGUAGAUCAAGUAUUUUACGUACGUAUACGUACUGUGUCGUGCAUUUGCACUACUUUUUGAUCUCUUGAUCUGCUAUAUAUAUAUAUAUAUAUAUAUAUGUCCAAUAACUCUCAUCAGUGGCAGUGCUAGGUGUUUUUGUUAUAUACAAGGGCAAUAUAUAUACAAGGCUCUCAUUUUUAAGAAUUUACCAUCAAGGCAGAGAGCAAUUUGAGCAAACCAGAUGAUUUGAUGAAUAAACUUUAAUACGUACAUUUUCCCUUUUACUAUUAUAGAUAUUAAAACUCUUAGUAGCUAGCGGAAUAUCACACUUGGAAGAUACUCAAGCUCGUAUGAAUUGACAAACACUUUCGCUUUAGUUCUCUUCUACCUUCUACCUUCUACCUUCCACCUUCUUGGAUAGAAGCUCACCCUGAGAAAAGAAAUAUAUAUAUAUAUAUAUAUAUAUNNNNNNNNNNNNNNNNNNNNNNNNNNNNNNNNNNNNNNNNNNNNNNNNNNNNNNNNNNNNNNNNNNNNNNNNNNNNNNNNNNNNNNNNNNNNNNNNNNNNUUAAAGGUCUUAAAAUGAGCACGUUUCUACAAGAUUUUUUUAUGCUCACCCCGACACAAGUCCCAAAAUCGAUCUCUCAUACAACUGUUGUUACUUCCUAAGUACUCCACAUAUAACCUCUACCAUUAGUAAAACGUACACCUCAGACACCUAAACCCUUAUAUGGGUUCUUAUUUCUGCUUCAAGGAAUACAACUCCCUACAAAUUAAAUGAGAUGCAGCAGGGCAAAGUCAGAAGUAACCACAUGCUAUCAAAUUUAUCGUGAAUACGUCGGAUUUGUAAUAGCCAACACUGAACUAAAUAUACCCAGUGACACCUUAUCCAAUUACUGGGGUUUAAACUACACACGCUAAAACCUACAAUCACCAACACAGGAAUAUGAUUCUACCAGCAUAGAAAAUAUAGUGUUAAAGUCAAGAUCUUUCCUCACGUCCCAAUCACGUAAGACGCGUCCGAUAUCGUGCACAGUUCAACAAGUCAACACCCAAAGCUUGACAGCUUGACCGUCGGGGGAUAGCUCCGGUGUGAGAGUCAGUACAAGCGAUCACUAGUUUAACAAUGGAGAAUAAAAUAUUUCGUGUAUUGAAAGAGGUAAAAAUAUCAGUUACCUUUAGAUUGUGUGUGAUCCUUCUAACAUAUACUCUAAAGUCCGGUUUGUCCUAUAUGCAACUGAUUUUCCGGGUCUACAACCUUUUGCCGACUAAGUCAAGUCCAAUUCUCAAUAAAUAUAAGGCAGAGUUGACAGUCAAAGUUCUAUCCCCAUAAUUAUCGACAGUCAAAGCCCAAGUGGAACCAUACUCACCAAAUGGUUCGGCCCACUGUCCGGCGCAAUACUCCAUAGGCCCCAAAUAAAGAUAUUAACCACCCACUGGGUCGGCCCAAUGAACCGGCCCACUACUUUCAAGACCUACCCAACAUGUCUAAAGUAUUAUGGAACAUAUAGCAAGACCAAGUCCAAAAUGAAAAGAGACAUAAUUGUAACAAGAGAGACGAAACAACACCAUCCAAAGUUGCACAAUCUUUCUGCAACCCAUUUUUAAACACACCGCGAAGCGGAUCGUCACUCUCGUUGAGCUUUGCACACUGAAAGAAGCACACAACAAAAGAUUAUAACCGUUUCAACAUCAAAAAAAGCAUGCUAUAAUACAAGUCGAUAACAUAGAAUAUCCUACACUCAAUCAUAUAUGAAAUUUCGCUUUAGGGCCAAAUUGCCGUCAUCUCCCUCUUUCCCCUCACCAAAUGGGCAUGCAGAUCUCAGGAGCUCAACCUCACUGAUACGCUCUCAUUCUUAUCUCAAUCAGAGUUGGCAAAUCUAUAAAAUCUCAACCUGAGCACUAGAUUCACUUUUUCGAACUUAAUCAACUUGGCGACAUUUAUAGGAAAAUAAAUAAAUAAAGUUUCAUAAAAAGCAAGAAUCCCCGAUGUCUUGUGGAAGGACGCACCCUUUUUGCUAGCUGUGUUUAUUUCUCCAUUUUGAUGAUAAUUAAUUUCAGCUACCUUCACUAUAAUAGGCAUGGCAAUGCAAUGAGAGAGAAAGAAAAAAAAUUCGUUUCCAUUUUAUUUAUAAUACCUCAAACCUAAAAGUGGAAUACUUAACCAAGAAUACGUUUUAUCAUACACUUUAGUGAAGGAAAAUGAAAGCUAAAUUAAUCUAUACCAAAAAGAAAAUUACUCAUAUUAACUCUGGUGUACCCAGUUAAACAUAAGAACUACUAAUAGUUCAGAUAUCUAAAAAUAGUACUUUGCAACAUUUCUAGCGGCUAAAAUUAAUAAAGCAGUAAUAAUAAUCAUCGAUCCUCUCAUGAGAAUCUGCUGACGUACUACAGAAACACUAAUAAUAUAAACUCACGAAUAAUCAAUCCAACACAGAGUAAAGAGACGACACACCAAAAUAACUUCAAACUAAAAAUGGACAAAACUUGUCCCUGAAAAGAGUCCAAAUGAAAGAAAAAACAUCUUUGAAGAAACACAACUAUCAUAUAUACCUCCUCAUGCUUAAUUCUUGGAUAGAAAAUCACACCACUGCUGACCCUCAACAGUUCUCAUGUCCUCGAC